rnacentral:rRNA from 1 species
GAUGAACGCUGGCGGCGUGCCUAAUACAUGCAAGUCGAGCGAACAGAUGAGGAGCUUGCUCCUCUGACGUUAGCGGCGGACGGGUGAGUAACACGUGGAUAACCUACCUAUAAGACUGGGAUAACUUCGGGAAACCGGAGCUAAUACCGGAUAAUAUAUUGAACCGCAUGGUUCAAUAGUGAAAGACGGUUUUGCUGUCACUUAUAGAUGGAUCCGCGCCGCAUUAGCUAGUUGGUAAGGUAACGGCUUACCAAGGCAACGAUGCGUAGCCGACCUGAGAGGGUGAUCGGCCACACUGGAACUGAGACACGGUCCAGACUCAUACGGGAGGCAGCAGCAGGGAAUCUUCCGUAAUGGGCGAAAGCCUGACGGAGCAACGCCGCGUGAGUGAUGAAGGUCUUCGGAUCGUAAAACUCUGUUAUUAGGGAAGAACAAAUGUGUAAGUAACUAUGCACGUCUUGACGGUACCUAAUCAGAAAGCCACGGCUAACUACGUG